rnacentral:lncRNA from 11 species
GAUUUUUUAAAAUCUGCUGUCUUUGCCUAGAGAAACAGCUGUGGAGCCAGGCGGAAGGCAGACUGCGUUGGAUAAUACAGAACAUUGGAUGAGCAAAGCUGGAAGGCACUUUGAGACAAGCAGCUGCAGCAAGACCACAAGGGGCCUCUCCAAUCGCUUACUUUAAACACAGCCCAAGAACUGACAACAGACAUCAUUUCAACGUGCCCUAAUAAGCAGUGCCAAGCUGAAAAGGUAGGGCUU